rnacentral:rRNA from 1 species
ACACCGGCGGCCCGAGUGGUGAUCGUGAUUAUUGGGUCUAAAGGGUCCGUAGCCGGUUUGGCCAGUCCUCCGGGAAAUCUGAUAGCUCAACUAUUAGGCUUUCGGGGGAUACUGCCAGACGUGGAACCGGGAGAGGGAAGAGGUACUAACGGGGUAGGAGUGAAGUCUUGUAAUCCCUGUGGGACCACCUGUGGCGAAGGCGUCUUACCAGAACGGGUUCGACGGUGAGGGACGAAAGCUGGGGGCACGAACCGGAUUAGAUACCCGGGUAGUCCCAGCCGUAAACGAUGCUCGCUAGGUGUCAGGCAUGGCGCGACCGUGUCUGGUGCCGCAGGGAAGCCGUGAAGCGAGCCACCUGGGAAGUACGGCCGCAAGGCUGAAACUUAAAUGAAUUGGCGGGG